rnacentral:lncRNA from 1 species
GACAAUGUAAAUCUUGUCAUCAAAUUAAUCCAAGGUACUCAAUCCCUUUAAAAAAAAAAUUUACAAAGCAAAAAUCACUUUUUUAAAUUUAUUGCAUAACGAAUGUAUUAGGGCUAUAUUAAAAGAAAGAUCAGAUACAUGUGUUGUUUAAUGAAUUAUAUGAAAAGUCGGAGGAAGUAUAUAUAUGCAAAACCUCAUGAACAUAUGUAACUAUAUAUGUAUAUGCAGGUGCUUGAUUAGCAACGAAAAGAGGCUUGCGCAAGUAGCCGUGAACUCGAUGAUGAUGUGUUUUCUAUUGCUAAUCUAUCCAGCACUAGAUAAAUUAUCUGAUGAUCAAUUCCUGACAAUCUUCAAUGACACCUUCGUGACAAUCUUUGUCAUCGUACCUGUUUUAUGUUAUCAAUCAAACAUGUAUUAUUUAACAAUAAAAAACCCUAUUAACAAAAAUAUUUUCCCAAUCUUAUACGUACUACUGCUAUCAAGUGCAACAACAGUUAUAGAAUUGAGCUUUGUUUCGCAGAUUGCUGCUACCACCAUUUUUAUCUCAUGGGCGAUCUUAAU